rnacentral:rRNA from 1 species
UACGUAGGGUGCAAGCGUUAAUCGGAAUUACUGGGCGUAAAGCGUGCGCAGGCGGUUGUGCAAGACAGAUGUGAAAUCCCCGGGCUUAACCUGGGAAUUGCAUUUGUGACUGCACGGCUAGAGUGUGUUAGAGGGGGGUAGAAUUCCACGUGUAGCAGUGAAAUGCGUAGAUAUGUGGAGGAAUACCGAUGGCGAAGGCAGCCCCCUGGGAUAACACUGACGCUCAUGCACGAAAGCGUGGGGAGCAAACAGG